GUCUAUGGGCGGAGCUUGUGGGGCAUCUUCGGAUGCGCCGAUAGUACCGCACAAUCGGUUCGCCAACCCGCAAGCUCUUGCCCGCCCUG
rnacentral:antisense_RNA from 1 species